CAGGUUUGGUGUCAGCAGGUAGCUGGGUGGAGCUGAGCUGCUCCAGCAGAGCCAAGCCUUCUAUCAGUAGCUUUAUAUGGUUCAAAAAAAGCUCAGAUGGAGAUGGAAAAGUUGCUGAAGGAAAUCCUUACAGAUUUAAAGCCAGAGAUGGAGAGAAGUAUUUUUGUGUGGCACAGAAUGAUCUAGGAAAUAAUACAUCAUUAUUGAUUCAUUUGACUGUUUACGGUUCACUUUAUGGACCUCUUUACUGGGGAGCAAUUCCAGUCGGAUGUAUUGUGUUUGCAUGUCUGUUCACUGGUCUUUGGUGCUUUAAGUCCAAACAUGUAACUACCAAGGAGAGUCAGAGCCAAACAAGAGACAGCCAUGUGUCAUUCAGUAAUGAAAAGGAGGAACUGCAUUAUGGAGAAGUAAACUUUCACAAAAAGACCCCUCACACAUCCUCACAGCAAGACAAUGAACGCCAGGAGACUGUCUAUGCAGAAGUUAAAGUGUCUAAACCAGAGAACAACUCAUUUUUUAAUGACAGUCCA